UCUCUCUUUGUUAUCUUCAGAGGAGAGCAACUGAUAUCGUAUCCUCAGAAAUAUUAUUCAUCUUCUCCGUUCUUCUCAAUUAACCUAACGCCUCACUGAAACAAAAACAAAUCAACCCGAAGAAUCUCUCGCCAAUCAUCCAUGAAAAAGGUGGGAUCAGAUGAACAAGAAACAACGACGAAACUUUGAAGAAAUUUCUCAAAUGGAUUCAUUACAGGGUAAAGCUUCAGUUCUCAUCCACGUCAAAGUCCAAAAAAUUUCGGCCCUUUAACUUAGGUUUUUUGUUCAUGCCCGACACCAGAACCUUUGGGAGCACAAAAGCGAAUAGUACAACAGCAUCAUAGCUCAGUUUUGAGUACCUUGGAAAGUUGUGAGCAGUGAACUCGAUAAGCUUUCUAGGCUGAAUGAGAAGAGUAGCAGUGAGUUGAUAUCAAUGCAAAAGGCAAAUGGGUUUGUUGCUACUGCAUUGCACAACUGAAACAUGACUAAAAGAUGAAAGAAGGUGGUACAAGACCUGCAGAUUGUUAUGGAAGCUGUGUGACACAAUCUCGGAAGUAAAAGGUGAUAUUACGAUGAAAACAGUUGAUACCAGAACUAACCAUGUCCAGUGGAAAGAUGUCUCUGCUUCUAUAUUAAGUAUUGCCAAUUUGUAUAUACAUAUACUACGUCCUUUUGAGUAGGUACAUUUUUUACCCAAUUUUAUAAAGUCCACUCUGAAUACAUUCCCGCCCUUUGUAAACCUUGGCUAUAAUAAAUGAAUGGAACUAUGUAAUCAGCACAAUAAAAAUUUUGGUAUGAGGUUCACCUAUACUUUAUGUGAUCGACAAUAAAGGUUUUG